AUUGAACGCUAGCGGCAGGCUUAACACAUGCAAGUCGAGCGGAGAUGAGGUGCUUGCACCUUAUCUUAGCGGCGGACGGGUGAGUAAUGCUUAGGAAUCUGCCUAUUAGUGGGGGACAACAUUCCGAAAGGAAUGCUAAUACCGCAUACGUCCUACGGGAGAAAGCAGGGGAUCUUCGGACCUUGCGCUAAUAGAUGAGCCUAAGUCGGAUUAGCCAGUUGGUGGGGUAAAGGCCUACCAAGGCGACGAUCUGUAGCGGGUCUGAGAGGAUGAUCCGCCACACUGGGACUGAGACACGGCCCAGACUCCUACGGGAGGCAGCAGUGGGGAAUAUUGGACAAUGGGGGGAACCCUGAUCCAGCCAUGCCGCGUGUGUGAAGAAGGCCUUAUGGUUGUAAAGCACUUUAAGCGAGGAGGAGGCUACUGAGACUAAUACUCUUGGAUAGUGGACGUUACUCGCAGAAUAAGCACCGGCUAACUCUGUGCCAGCCGCCGCAGUAACAC
rnacentral:rRNA from 1 species